CCUACGGGUGGCUGCAGUGGGGGAUAUUGCACAAUGGGGGGAACCCUGAUGCAGCGACGCCGCGUGGGUGAAGAAGCGCCUCGGCGCGUAAAGCCCUGUCAGCAGGGAAGAAAAUGACGGUACCUGAAGAAUAAGCCCCGGCUAAAGACGUGCCAGCAGCCGCGGGAAUACGUAGGGGGCAAGCGUUAGCCGGAUUUACUGGGUGUAAAGGUGGCGCAGACGGCGAUGCAAGCCAGGUGUGAAAGCCCGGGGCCCAACCCCGGGACUGCUCUUGGCACUGCGUGGCUGGAGUGCAGGAGAGGAAGGCGGAAUUCCUGGUGUAGCGGUGAAAUGCGUAGAUAUCAGGAAGAACACCGGUGGCGAAGGCAGCCUGCUGGACUGCAACUGACGUUGAGGCACGAAAGCGUGGGGAGCAAACAGGAUUAGAUACCCGGGUAGUC
rnacentral:rRNA from 1 species